rnacentral:misc_RNA from 1 species
GAAGCUGCGAAUUCCUUGUCCUUGCCCAUCGGCUUCACUUAUCUAUCCUCACUUUUUGGGUGCAAUAUUAUAACUGGAAAAGAGUAUACGGUUUCUUUUUCUUGUUGCAGAGUUAGUAGUGGAGUGUUUGGUACGGAAUAGUACACACACUACGCAUCGCGAAUUCCAUCUCCUUUACUAGCAAUCCAUUUUAGCCCCCGAAACUUUCCACCUCUGCAUUCGAUUUAUUUAUUUAUUUUCCUUGGAGAAUUUUUUU